GGGGAAUUUUCCGCAAUGGGCGCAAUCUCUGACGGAGCAAGACCGCGUGAGGGAGGAAGGCUCUUGGGUUGUAAACCUCUUUUCUUGGGGAAUAAAAAAAUGAAGGUACCCAAGGAAUCAGCAUCGGCUAACUCCGUGCCAGCAGCCGCGGUAAUACGGAGGAUGCAAGCGUUAUCCGGAAUUAUUGGGCGUAAAGCGUCCGCAGGUGGCACUUCAAGUCUGCUGUCAAAGACCGGGGCUUAACCCUGGAAAGGCAGUGGAAACUGAAGCGCUAGAGUGUCGUAGGGGUAGAGGGAAUUCCUGGUGUAGCGGUGAAAUGCGUAGAGAUCAGGAAGAACAUCGGUGGCGAAAGCGCUCUACUGGACGACAACUGACACUCAGGGACGAAAGCUAGGGGAGCGAAUGGGAUUAGAUACCCCAGUAGUCCUAGCCGUAAACGAUGGAUACUAGGUGUGGCUUGUAUCGACCCGAGCCGUGCCGUAGCUAACGCGUUAAGUAUC
rnacentral:rRNA from 1 species